rnacentral:tRNA from 1 species
UGUGACUCAGUCAGGUAGAGUGCUGCCCUUACAAGGCGGAAGCCGAGGGUUCAAAUCCCUCCGGG